rnacentral:misc_RNA from 1 species
GUGGGAGGGGGCUUGCCCCCGAUGGCGGCGUGUCAAUCAAUUCAGUGUUGGCUGAUCCACUGCAAUCGGGGGCAAGCCCCCUCCCAC